rnacentral:rRNA from 1 species
UGGGGAAUUUUGGACAAUGGGGGCAACCCUGAUCCAGCAAUGCCGCGUGUGUGAAGAAGGCCUUCGGGUUGUAAAGCACUUUUGUCCGGAAAGAAAUCGCCCUGGCUAAUAUCCGGGGUGGAUGACGGUACUGGAAGAAUAAGCACCGGCUAACUACGUGCCAGCAGCCGCGGUAAUACGUAGGGUGCGAGCGUUAAUCGGAAUUACUGGGCGUAAAGCGUGCGCAGGCGGUUGUGCAAGACAGAUGUGAAAUCCCCGGGCUUAACCUGGGAAUGGCAUUUGUGACUGCACGGCUAGAGUGUGUCAGAGGGGGGUAGAAUUCCACGUGUAGCAGUGAAAUGCGUAGAUAUGUGGAGGAACACCGAUGGCGAAGGCAGCCCCCUGGGAUAACACUGA